AACAUCCUUCCUUCCUUCCUUUCUACUUCUCUCUCUCUCUCUCUUUCUCCGUCUCUUUCUUUCUUUUCUAUGAAAAAGAUAAGUUGAGCCCUGUACUUUCAGUAGGAAUAAAGAGCAAUGAAUACAUGGUCCUUGUCCUCAAGCAGAGUCUAGUCUCUUAAAGGGGACAGGCAUGUAACCAAAUAAGACCAAGCUCCCUUCAGAAGGAAUCAUCAGGCUCCUUUGGGGCUCUGUCAGAACUCUGUAUACCAGGCUUCAGCUAAAGAACUCCCCACGUUGUUCUAGAAUGCCUUGUCUAGCUUCCCAUUUCAGGAAGAAAUAGUGAACUUCUUAAGGACAGGGCCACUUCAGUCAUCUCUGAAUUUACAGAGCCCAGAAUUGUGCCUAAUACAUAAUAAAUGAUCAACAAGUACUGGUUGAAUUGAACCUAAAUAAAGUGAUGUUUUAUUUUUAUUCUUGAAGGAUUUCUUGCUAUGGAUGAACUUUUUCAAGACUUAAAAAAGGGACAAGCUUCCUGGUUAAAGUCAUGUCAAAGGAGAAUCUGAUAAGUCUGGCUUUUCGGAUCGUCCCUAACCUGUGCAUGGAGGAAUUGUCUUCAGAAGGGAGUUUCUGAUGUCCUUAAGCACCUAAAAUUUUUAUAAGUAAAUAAAAGAGCAAAGCUGUCCUGAAGAGAGAACCAAGGCUGCAAGGCGCAGCAGCAGGAGGCGGACUACGGUUCAAACCCUCACUCCACAGCCGGUGUUUCCAGGGGUGGGUCACCCGCUCUCCGAGUGCCUCAGUUUCUUCACCCAUUCAAUAGAGUAUCGACUGGCUUAAAAAAUGUACAAAAUAAAAUAAAAAUAGGAGUAAUAACAGUACUACCUCUUAGACACUCCUUUCUAGCAACUGUCCUACCUUCAUCAAACGCCAUCAUAUUGCACAGUGCAUGUUCCGAUCAGUCAAUAACUUCUAUUGCUUCCGACAACUCAAAAUCUCUUCCUUUAAUCUGUCAUUGUUUGUUCUCUCCAGCUGACCCCAUGGCUUGGUUACUGGACUCUGCCUUACUGUCUAGCUCAUACAUUAAUAAAUGGGCACCUUAGCUCUGCUCUGCAGCUCUGGAGACCGUGCUUAGAGCAGGGUUGCCAGAGACGAUGCAGACUUUCAAAAUGUAAGUAAAUACAGAUGAUGUUUAGAUAAAAUGCAAAGUAAAAAAUUUGAAUUUCAGACAGACAACCAAUAUUUUUUUAGUAUAAGUAUGUCACAAAUAUUGCACGACAACCCCAGAUCGGAAGCCAUCUUUCAAAUCAACCUUGAGUUCUGAGGUGCUGAGAAGCACUGCUCAGCUCGUCCAUUGUCACGUUGUCCCUCUUUCCCUGGGGCCUGAGCACUGUCAGGGGCGACCCUAUCUCGCUCUGGGGAGGAGCGUGCGGUGCGGCGGGACGAGCUCAGGGAGUGGACAGCUGCCGGGCAGCCACGCGAGCCCAGGCAGCCCCAGCCAGUCCAGCAACCCAGCUCUUCUGGGAAGGAGGUUUAAACAAAUACCCUCCACUGGGAAGAAAGAGAUCACGGUGUCUGUGGGUUCUCAGUAUUGGGUGUGUAUGUAAAGCUGUAUGAAAUCGUGUGAAGAGAUUAAAAUUUUAAUGACCACCCUUUGCACUCUAAGGAUCUAUCAAAAUUCCGCCUUGAGCUUCCUGAGAGAGAAACUUCCUUUCCCGUCUCGUUGAUAAACCGACACGGGUUCUGUUUGCUCUGUAAAUGUAUGAAAAAAGGGCUGGCCUUUCAGUUCCUGGUUUGGUAAGGACUGUUGAGAAUCUGGAAGUCCUUGGACAGGCUAAUGAAAUGGAAUUCUGAAGACACUACCCGGAAUCUUAUCAAAUUCAAAGUGAACUAUAAAUUUUUAUCACUUUUUGAAACCCAAGUGCAAGCCCAACUAACCUGGAGGUAGAAUUGGGCCUGUCCACCUGGAUCGGGAAUGGAGGCAGAGGCUGCAACGUGUCCCACGAGUCCGGUGGGGCAGAUCCUGGCUGACGUACGAAGACUCAUUGUUUUCAUCUUCAUUAUCCGUAGAAAUACGCCCCAACUGACUGCAGAAAGGUAAUCGAACUGAUCAGCAAAUUCAUAUUAAAUAAGGCAUCUGGAGAAGAUAUUUUUGACACUCAAAGUUGUGUUUAAAGUUUUGGGUUCUAAUUCUUGUCAUCUUAUUUAUUACUGUUAACUCUGCAGAUAAUAAUUUUACCAGUUUUAUUUCAAAAUGUAGUCCAUCUUUUUUCUUUUAGAGCAAUCGCUCUCACUCCCUCUCAACCAUAUACUUUUCCUCUGUGCUUACUUUCUGAAUGUUAAUAUGAGUGGACUGUCCAGGUCAACAUUCUGGAGGCAGCGGCUAUGAACUGUCCUUCUACAGCCAGACGUUGUCCUGACCUCUGUCACAUAUUCACGUGAUUAGUCCAAAAGCCUGUCUCCCCCUUCUCCUCCUACCUGCUCCCCCCACUGUGACCAGGGCAAAAUCCCUACAUUCUCUAGGUAAGCUGAAUGCGUGCCCUCUAUUUUUGUAAGAAUAUAAGACAAGUUUCUACUCUACAUGGACGAUUGUUUCAUUGCAUACCUUCAAAUCCCCUGGCUCUGCUAUUUCUAGCCUUCGGUUGAACUUGGAAAAAGUAACUUAACCUCUUAUGUUUUCUCACCUUUCAAAUGUAGAAAAUAAAAAUUAUCUCUGAAGUUGU